rnacentral:piRNA from 1 species
CUGGGAAGAAUUGAGACCAGAAACUUUGGCC